AACGAACGCUGGCGGCAUGCCUAACACAUGCAAGUCGAACGAGACCUUCGGGUCUAGUGGCGCACGGGUGCGUAACGCGUGGGAACCUGCCUUUAGGUUCGGAAUAACUCACAGAAAUUUGAGCUAAUACCGGAUGAUGUCUUCGGACCAAAGAUUUAUCGCCUUUAGAUGGGCCCGCGUUGGAUUAGCUAGUUGGUAGGGUAAAGGCCUACCAAGGCGACGAUCCAUAGCUGGUCUGAGAGGAUGAUCAGCCACACUGGGACUGAGACACGGCCCAGACUCCUACGGGAGGCAGCAGUGGGGAAUAUUGGACAAUGGGCGAAAGCCUGAUCCAGCAAUGCCGCGUGAGUGAUGAAGGCCUUAGGGUUGUAAAGCUCUUUUACCCGAGAUGAUAAUGACAGUAUCGGGAGAAUAAGCUCCGGCUAACUCCGUG
rnacentral:rRNA from 1 species